AGAGUUUGAUCAUGGCUCAGGAUGAACGCUAGCGGCAGGCUUAACACAUGCAAGUCGAGGGGUAGGGUAGCAAUACCUGAGACCGGCGCACGGGUGCGUAACGCGUGUGCAAUCUACCUUUUACAGAGGGAUAGCCCAGAGAAAUUUGGAUUAAUACCUCAUAGUAUAUAUGAAUGGCAUCCUUUAUAUAUUAAAGUCUCAACGGUAAAAGAUGAGCAUGCGUCCCAUUAGCUAGAUGGUAAGGUAACGGCUUACCAUGGCAACGAUGGGUAGGGGUCCUGAGAGGGAGAUCCCCCACACUGGUACUGAGACACGGACCAGACUCCUACGGGAGGCAGCAGUGAGGAAUAUUGGUCAAUGGGCGCAAGCCUGAACCAGCCAUGCCGCGUGCAGGAAGAAGCAUCUAUGGUGUGUAAACUGCUUUUGUACAGGAAGAAACACUCCCUCGUGAGGGAGCUUGACGGUACUGUAAGAAUAAGGAUCGGCUAACUCCGUGCCAGCAGCCGCGGUAAUACGGAGGAUCCAAGCGUUAUCCGGAAUCAUUGGGUUUAAAGGGUCCGUAGGCGGUUAGAUAAGUCAGUGGUGAAAGCCCAUCGCUCAACGGUGGAACGGCCAUUGAUACUGUUUAACUUGAAUAAUUAGGAAGUAACUAGAAUAUGUAGUGUAGCGGUGAAAUGCUUAGAGAUUACAUGGAAUACCAAUUGCGAAGGCAGGUUACUACUAGUUUAUUGACGCUGAUGGACGAAAGCGUGGGUAGCGAACAGGAUUAGAUACCCUGGUAGUCCACGCCGUAAACGAUGGAUACUAGCUGUUGGGAGCAAUUUCAGUGGCUAAGCGAAAGUGAUAAGUAUCCCACCUGGGGAGUACGUUCGCAAGAAUGAAACUCAAAGGAACUGACGGGGGCCCGCACAAGCGGUGGAGCAUGUGGUUUAAUUCGAUGAUACGCGAGGAACCUUACCAAGGCUUAAAUGUAGUUUGACCGAUUAGGAAACUAGUCUUUCGCAAGACAAAUUACAAGGUGCUGCAUGGUUGUCGUCAGCUCGUGCCGUGAGGUGUCAGGUUAAGUCCUAUAACGAGCGCAACCCCUGUUGUUAGUUGCCAGCGAGUCAAGUCGGGAACUCUAGCAAGACUGCCAGUGCAAACUGUGAGGAAGGUGGGGAUGACGUCAAAUCAUCACGGCCCUUACGCCUUGGGCUACACACGUGCUACAAUGGACGGUACAGAGAGCAGCCACUGGGCGACCAGGUGCGAAUCUACAAAACCGUUCUCAGUUCGGAUCGGAGUCUGCAACUCGACUCCGUGAAGCUGGAAUCGCUAGUAAUCGGAUAUCAGCCAUGAUCCGGUGAAUACGUUCCCGGGCCUUGUACACACCGCCCGUCAAGCCAUGGAAGCUGGGGGUACCUGAAGUCGGUGACCGCAAGGAGCUGCCUAGGGUAAAACUGGUAACUAGGGCUAAGUCGUAACAAGGUAGCCAAGGGCGAA
rnacentral:rRNA from 1 species